rnacentral:rRNA from 1 species
UGAGGAAUAUUGGUCAAUGGACGGAAGUCUGAACCAGCCAAGUCGCGUGAAGGAUGACUGCCCUAUGGGUUGUAAACUUCUUUUGUAUUGGGAGAAUAAGCCUUACGUGUAAGGUGAUGACUGUACAAUACGAAUAAGCACCGGCUAACUACGUGCCAGCAGCCGCGGUAAUACGUAGGGUGCAAGCGUUAAUCGGAAUUACUGGGCGUAAAGCGUGCGCAGGCGGUUAUGUAAGACAGGUGUGAAAUCCCCGGGCUCGACCUGGGAACUGCUUUUGAAACGGUCAUGCUUGAAUCAUGGAGAGGGUAGCGGAAUUCCGAGUGUAGAGGUGAAAUUCGUAGAUAUUCGGAAGAACACCGGUGGCGAAGGCGGCUACCUGGCCAUGUAUUGACGCUCAGGUGCGAAAGCGUGGGGAGCAAACA